rnacentral:rRNA from 1 species
AACGAACGCUGGCGGCAGGCCUAACACAUGCAAGUCGAGCGAGGACUUCGGUCCUAGCGGCGGACGGGUGAGUAACGCGUGGGAACGUGCCCUUUGCUUCGGAAUAGCCCUGGGAAACUGGGAGUAAUACCGGAUGAGCCCUUUGGGGGAAAGAUUUAUCGGCGAAGGAUCGGCCCGCGUUGGAUUAGGUAGUUGGUGGGGUAAUGGCCUACCAAGCCGACGAUCCAUAGCUGGUUUGAGAGGAUGAUCAGCCACACUGGGACUGAGACACGGCCCAGUCUCCUACGGGAGGCAGCAGUGGGGAAUCUUAGACAAUGGGGGAAACCCUGAUCUAGCCAUGCCGCGUGAGCGAUGAAGGCCUUAGGGUUGUAAAGCUCUUUCAGCUGGGAAGAUAAUGACGGUACCAGCAGAAGAAGCCCCGGCUAACUCCGUG